GGGGAAUCUUAGACAAUGGGGGAAACCCUGAUCUAGCCAUGCCGCGUGAUCGAUGAAGGCCUUAGGGUUGUAAAGAUCUUUCAGUGGGGAAGAUAAUGACUGUACCCACAGAAGAAGCCCCGGCUAACUCCGUGCCAGCAGCCGCGGUAAUACGGAGGGGGCUAGCGUUGUUCGGAAUUACUGGGCGUAAAGCGCACGUAGGCGGAUCAGAAAGUCAGAGGUGAAAUCCCAGGGCUCAACCUUGGAACUGCCUUUGAAACUCCUGAUCUUGAGGUCGAGAGAGGUGAGUGGAAUUCCGAGUGUAGAGGUGAAAUUCGUAGAUAUUCGGAGGAACACCGGUGGCGAAGGCGGCUCACUGGCUCGAUACUGACACUGAGGUGUGAAAGCGUGGGGAGCAAAC
rnacentral:rRNA from 1 species